rnacentral:rRNA from 1 species
CGAGCACGCGCGUGUGGCAUAUCAAUAAGCGGAGGAAAAGAAACUAACAAGGAUUCCCUUAGUAACGGCGAGUGAAGCGGGAAGAGCUCAAAUUUGAAAUCUUCAAGGUUUUACCUUGACGAAUUGUAGUUUAAAGAAGUGUUUUCUGUUGGAGUUUUGGUAAAAGUUCUUUGGAAUAGGACAUCAUAGAGGGUGAGAAUCCCGUAUUUGACGUCAUUCCUUCUAGCUUUGUGAUACACUUUCAAAGAGUCGGAUUGUUUGGGAAUGCAGUCCAAAAUGGGUGGUAAAUUUCAUCUAAAGCUAAAUACUGGCGAGAGACCGAUAGCGAACAAGUACCGUGAGGGAAAGAUGAAAAGAACUUUGAAAAGAGAGUUAAACAGUACGUGAAAUUGUCAAAAGGGAAGCGUUUGACACCAGUGUUGUUUUUCCGAAAAUCAAUUGAGAAUGUUUUAUUUUUGAGGAGUUAUGACUUCAUCGGCUUGCUUCUCUCUUUAUGAAACUUUCUUAAUGCACUUUUCGGUUAACAAGUCAACAUCAAUUUCUUUUGUUGUAAAAGAGUAUGAGGAAGGUGGCUUUCUUUUCGGGAGAAAGUGUUUAUAGCCUUGUGACUUCUGCAAUCGGAGAGAUUGAGGUCUGCAGCGUAGAUCCUUCGGGGUUAGAUACAGUUUGUGCUAAGUUAUAGCUUUGUCAUAGACAACAUUGUUGAUUAUGCUUAGUCUUGUAGCUUACUCGCAGAUACGCUAUUUUACCUACGCUUAGGAUGUUGAACUCUAUCACACACAG